rnacentral:lncRNA from 1 species
CCUCACUCUUCUGCUUGCUGAUCUCCUGAUGGCACCUCCUGUUGACCAAAUCCAGCCAGAUGCCAGAGAAUGAGAGAACCCUUUGAAGCAAUCCUAAAGGUCUAUGUUCCAGGGACACAGAGCAGAGUGGCAAAGAGUAGAGAGUGGAUUGGGAGGAGCAAAAAGAGAACACCCCAUACACUGUCAUUGUUCCUUUACUAAGUGUUUUUGAAUAAUAGCAUGCAACAUCCUCCACAUCCAAGAUGGUAUGCGUACGGUCCUUGCUGAUCAGGGGACUGAAUUGAUUGGUCUCAUCGAUGGAUUCUCUAGGCCAUCAAAAUAAAUGCCCGUUCUGUCAUUGGACGCAUGCUAGAACUCAGCAACCUGCUUAACUUCUUGGAGCGUCAAGGUCUUUGUUCACAGAAUGAGAGAUUUGCACUAAACGACCUUCACAAGUCCUUCCAGCUCAUUCUGUGGUUCUCUGAAAACUCACUGACUUCUGGAGUCAGAACAUCAAAUUGGACUUUGUGAAACUUCUGUUAACAAGGAGGCCACACUUGAUUUCUAAAACUCAAUUAGCACAGAUUAAAAAUAAAUAAAUAAAAGACUUAUAUGGCUGCAUCCCACUAUGUUAGAUACAGGGGGG